CUACGGGGCGCAGCAGUGGGGAAUAUUGCACAAUGGAGGAAACUCUGAUGCAGCAACGCCGCGUGGAGGAUGACGCAUUUCGGUGUGUAAACUCCUUUUAUAUGUCAAGAAAAUGACGGUAGCAUAUGAAUAAGCACCGGCUAACUCCGUGCCAGCAGCCGCGGUAAUACGGAGGGUGCAAGCGUUACUCGGAAUCACUGGGCGUAAAGGACGCGUAGGCGGGUUGGAAAGUCAGGUGUGAAAUCCUACAGCUUAACUGUAGAACUGCACUUGAAACUUCUAAUCUAGAGUAUGGGAGGGGGAGAUGGAAUUAGUGGUGUAGGGGUAAAAUCCGUAGAUAUCACUAGGAAUACCUAAAGCGAAGGCGAUCUCCUGGAACAUUACUGACGCUAAGGCGUGAAAGCGUGGGGAGCAAACAGGAUUAGAUAACCCGGGUAGUC
rnacentral:rRNA from 1 species